rnacentral:rRNA from 1 species
GAUGAACGCUGGCGGCGUGCCUAAGACAUGCAAGUCGAGUGGGUUUAGACCCACGGCGAACGGGUGAGUAAUACAUAGGAACUUUCUACAAGUUGAGGAUAUCCCACCGAAAGGUGGUGCAAUACUCAAUGUGACCGUAAGGUUAAAGUCGCAAGACGCUUGUUGUGAGGCCUGUGCACCAUCAGCUAGUUGGUAAGGUAAUGGCUUACCAAGGCUAUGACGGUUAGCGGGUCCGAGAGGACGAUCAGCCACAUUGGGACUGAGACACGGCCCAGACUCCUACGGGAGGCAGCAGUGGGGAAUCUUGCGCAAUGGGCGAAAGCCUGACGCAGCGACGCCGCGUGGGGGAAGAAGGCUUUCGGUUGUUAAACCCUUCUAGAGGGACGAAGCCACUCAGGUAAUAGCCGAGAGGGUGACGGUACCUCCAGAAGAAGCCCCGGCCUAACUACGUGCCAGCAGCCG